CCUACGGGAGGCAGCAGUGGGGAAUAUUGCACAAUGGGGGAAACCCUGAUGCAGCGACGCCGCGUGAGUGAAGAAGGAAUUCGGUAUGUAAAGCUCUAUCAGCAGGGAAGAAAAUGACGGUACCUGAGUAAGAAGCCGCGGCUAACGACGUGCCAGCAGCCGCGGUAAUACGGAGGGGGCAAGCGUUAUCCGGAUUUACUGGGUGUAAAGGGAGCGUAGCCGGCAGUGCAAGUCUGGAGUGAAAGGCGGGGGCUCAACCCCCGGACUGCUCUGGAAACUGUACGGCUGGAGUGCAGGAGAGGUAAGUGGAAUUCCUAGUGUAGCGGUGAAAUGCGUAGAUAUUAGGAGGAACACCAGUGGCGAAGGCGGCUUACUGGACUGUAACUGACGUUGAGGCUCGAAAGCGUGGGGAGCACACAGGAUUAGAUACCCUAGUAGUC
rnacentral:rRNA from 1 species